rnacentral:rRNA from 1 species
UGGGGAAUAUUGCGCAAUGGGCGAAAGCCUGACGCAGCGACGCCGCGUGAGGGAUGAAGGUUUUCGGAUCGUAAACCUCUGUCAGAAGGGAAGAAACCGCACUGUGCUAAUCAGCAGUGCCUUGACGGUACCUUCAAAGGAAGCACCGGCUAACUCCGUGCCAGCAGCCGCGGUAAUACGGAGGGUGCAAGCGUUAAUCGGAAUUACUGGGCGUAAAGCGCACGUAGGCUGCUUUGUAAGUCAGGGGUGAAAUCCCACGGCUCAACCGUGGAACUGCCUUUGAUACUGCUUAGCUUGAAUCCGGGAGAGGGUGGCGGAAUUCCAGGUGUAGAAGUGAAAUCCGUAGAUAUCUGGAGGAACAUCAGUGGCGAAGGCGGCCACCUGGACCGGUAUUGACGCUGAGGUGCGAAAGCGUGCGGAUCAAACAGG